rnacentral:rRNA from 1 species
GACGUAGGGGGCCAGCGUUGCUCGGAAUUACUGGGCGUAAAGGGUUCGUAGGCGGUGCGGCAAGUCGGACGUGAAAUCUCUGGGCUUAACUCAGAGGCUGCUCCCGAAACUGCCGUGCUUGAGUGCGGGAGAGGCGAGUGGAAUUGCAGGUGUAGCGGUGAAAUGCGUAGAUAUCUGCAGGAACACCCGUGGCGAAGGCGGCUCGCUGGGACGUGACUGACGCUGAGACGCGAAAGCGUGGGGAGCAAACAGG